UACGUAGGGUGCAAGCGUUGUCCGGAAUUAUUGGGCGUAAAGAGCUCGUAGGCGGUUUGUCACGUCGGAUGUGAAAACCCGGGGCUUAACCUCGGGCCUGCAUUCGAUACGGGCUGACUAGAGUUCGGUAGGGGAGACUGGAAUUCCUGGUGUAGCGGUGAAAUGCGCAGAUAUCAGGAGGAACACCGGUGGCGAAGGCGGGUCUCUGGGCCGAUACUGACGCUGAGGAGCGAAAGCGUGGGGAGCGAACAGG
rnacentral:rRNA from 2 species